UAGAGCGCGAUGACUCCUGUUCCC
rnacentral:piRNA from 1 species